GUGAGCUUCCAUAUUGAAAAAGAAGAAAAGCAAAAAAGUAUUUUAUUGGUUCCAUUCUGUGAACAAAGCAUGAGAAUUUGAGAUUAAAUAUAGGAAAAGCAUAAUGCUUAUAUUCAUUUCACAUUCAGGGUGAACAUAUCUUGUGUGUUGACAACUGGUUAAACAAAAGAACGCUAAAUUUUAUGUUGAUUCGUAUUGAGUUCAUUUCAACAAAGAGCAUUGCAACUUUCUGCCUUCUAGUCAAUGUUGAGUACAUAUUCUUUGGUAGGAAGAGGAAAGUGGAAUCUGCCACCCCCCACCACCCCCACCCCCACUGGUUUAUAUUACUGCUAUUGGUCAAUGCAAGCUAAUUGCCCCGGGGGUGGGCGCGGGGGGGUGUUGGGGGGUUGUGCACGUAUAUUGGUUUGGGCGCAUCUCGGUUUACAAAUUUUUUUUUAACAGCUUGUUUGGAGAAAGUUAUUGGAGGAAAGAGAUGGUUUUUAAAAUAGCAUAUUUAUUUGGGGGAGAAAUUUUUCAAAGGAAGUAAGAUUUUUGAGGUUCAAAACCUCACUUUUUCAACCACUAAUAGGUGGGUUGAAAAAUCAUGAGAUAAAUCUAGCUAUGUUGAGUGUUAUGUUUUCUGCUACCGAAAAUUUUAAUUGAAAUUAAUUGCUUUGAUUUGAUUUCUUUGGGGAGGAGAAGUAAGAGAUGGAAGAAGAGAUUCAAAGAAAAAGUGAAAUAAACGAGGAACAUUUCAAAGUUGAAGAAUUGACUAAUGUAAUGCUUUUAGGAGAGGAAAUGAAUCCUUUAAAUAUACUCAUUCAAAUUCUAAAUAUUUUUAUACAUUCUUAAUUCUUCUCUCAAUUUCCUUAUCCUAUCAACCUCUCAGUCUCUUCACCUCCACCUCCUCUGGAUGCAUCGAUUCACCAUAUCCCUCCAUUACCCUCUCACUCACUCUCUCUCAUCUCAUGGUCACUCUUUACUUUCCAUCUUCCCUCAAAAUCCUAGAUUAAUCCUCCCCAUAUCACACUCCAGCCGGCCCCAUUCCCCCUACACCUGCGCCGGAUUCCAACUCUCUCUUCCCACCCCCUGCUCUGCCUCUCCCGCCUCCCAAAACGGCGUUCUUCAAAGGCGGAAAUUGCGCAGUCUUGGACUCAAAAACAUCGAUGUUGCCACCCUUGGUAAUCUCUGUGUAGAUAUUGUUCUUCAUGUUCCCAAAUUGCCCCCUCGUUCGCCGGAGGCUCGCAAGGCUUUUAUGGAUCAGUUAUCCGCUUCCCCUCCUGAUAAGCAAUACUGGGAAGCUGGUGGUAACUGCAAUAUGUCCAUAGCAGCUGCAAGACUAGGACUCCGUUGUGCCACAAUUGGUCAUGUGGGCAAUGAAAUUUAUGGAAAUUUCCUCCUAGACGUGCUUCGUGAUGAACGGAUUAGCGUGGUUGGGAUCAGUGAAGAUAUUGAUGUCACUGACAGUACCUCGUAUGAGACACUUUUAUGCUGGGUUCUCGUGGACCCUUUGCAAAGGCAUGGCUUUUGUAGUCGAGCUGAUUUUAGUAAGGAGCCUGCAUUUAGCUGGAUAAGCAAGUUAUCAGGAGAAGCAAAGAUGGCUAUUAAACAGUCAAAGGUCCUGUUCUGUAAUGGUUUUGGCUUUGAUGAGCUCUCCCCCAGUUUGAUGGUCUCAGUUCUAGAUUAUGCUGUUGAAGUUGGGACAUCUGUUUUCUUUGAUCCUGGACCACGUGGAAAGAGUCUUUCUACUGGAACACCUGAAGAACAAAAAACAUUUCACCAUUUCUUGAAGAUGAGUGAUGUUCUUCUUCUAACAUCUGAUGAGGUUUGGGCUAACAUUACCUUCAGCUUCUCUCAAAAUUUCAUCAUUCAAUCUAAUAUCAAAACUCGUUUUUGUUUUGAAAACAACUCCAAAAUUAAGAAACUGUAGUGCAAAAGAAAACAUUAACUUACAUUGUUGAUUUUAAGUGUUUUGGUGUUUUAUUUUUUCAUUUGAGAUGUGUAGAGGAAAAACUAAAUUGGUUCUACUUUCAUUAUUGCAGUAUUGUUCAUGACUGAUGUAUCAGUGGUGCAACAUUGUACCGUCCAGGGGAGGGGCACGUGAAAUGGAAAAAUGAUUUCUAGCCCAUUGUUAGCCUAGAACAGAAUUAUAACUGAACAACUACACACCACCAAUGUGGUAGUAGAUUAACUAGAGUUGCUGCCACAUAUUUGUUAUCAUAUAUUAUUUUAUCAUGUUCAUUUAACUCUCCCUUCACUACUUUAGAAAUGCUCCCAUCUGCAAAUUUUGAAUUGACAAGUAGUUUUCUUGCUGUUGAUCGGACUUAGUUCAUUACUUCAUUUUAAUUAAUCUCCCAGGCUGAGUCUUUGACUGGCAUAGGAGACCCACUGUUAGCAGGGCAGGAGUUGCUUAGGAGUGGCAUUCGUACGAAAUGGGUGAUUGUGAAGAUGGGUUAUAGGGGUUCAAUUCUAGUCACCAUGUCAAGUAUUUCUUGUGCACCUGCAUUCAAGGUGGAUGUCAUUGACACUGUUGGGUGUGGAGAUAGUUUUGUAGCCGCUAUUGCAUAUGGUUUCAUACAUAACAUGCCUUUGGUAAAUACGUUAACAAUUGCAAAUGCAGUGGGUGCUGCAACUGCCAUGGGUCGUGGAGCUGGUCGUAAUGUAGCAACCUUGGAGAAAGUAAUAGAACUCGUGAGAGCAUCAAAUCUCAAUGAGGAUGAUGAGUUUUGGAAUGAACUCGUAAAUAAUUUGGAUGCUCAGGAAGUUACAUUUCUUUCCAAAAUGGUCAUUAAUGGAAGCAACGGUCGGCUGAAUCGUGUUGCCUUACAAAAGGUGGUCUCUGAGUUGCUGCCUAAGCUCAAGUCUGCACAAGUAGAGGGAAAAGUACCUUUUUGAUAGAUAUGAUGGAAAGUAGGCAUAUAGCAAUGAAUUUGCUCAUGGUUUUGGUGCCUGAUUCUAGUGGCAGAUGUGCUGGCAUCAAUUAAGGCCUGGACUCAGGCAAUUAACCUAUGUUAAACUCAUCAUUUGUGGAAAAAGGAUGAGAUACUGAGCAAAGCUUUGUUCUGCUGAAGAGUUAGCAUUAGCAAGCUCCUUCCUUCUAUUUAUCUCCCUCUCUUACUGAGCAUAUUUUUAAAUGAUUGUUCAGCAAUGGUGAUUUGGUACCCCAAUGAACGCCUUUUCGUUUUCUGAAUUGGGGUUCUGCAGGCAAAUUUUCUGCAUUCUUAUGCCCAUGUGAAGCUGCAUUUUUUUUUCCUCCAACCACUAGGACAUUAUACCUGUCUAGCAGGUGUCUAAAAUCCUUUGAUAUGACAUCUUUAUUGUAUUGUUUUUGCUACUAGGUUUUUGAAAUUGCAAGUAUGAAAGUUGUAUGACUCGUUCUCUUGAAUUCCUGAAGCAUAUUGAAGAGAUCAGGAAAACAUUAAAGAAUUAUUUCAUCUCCUUUGAGCUUCUUUCUCUUGGUAUGUUUCAAAAGAAUCUUAUUUGUGAAAUGGAAAACCCCUC
rnacentral:misc_RNA from 1 species